UCCACGUGAUGGAGGGGUGGUCUUGGGAAGGAGAGGCAGUCAGGGUCCUUGAGUUCUGGCCCUGGGUGUGAUUGGAGGAAAGGGCUCAACCAUCCUGGGGGCCUCAAGGGUUGGACCAGGUGGUGUCCUUGGGACUAGGAGGAUCAGAGUGGGCUGGUGGGAAACAGGAAGUCUUUGAGCUGAGACUGCUCUGCCUUCCCUGGAGCUCAGAUUCUCUCCUUUUUCCUUUUGACCUGAGUUCUCUCUGCCUUCCCUGGGACCUAAGAUCGCUCUGCCUUCCAGAAGCCCACUCUGUGCAUGCAGAUCCCAGGUUGGAGUCCUUUCCCUGAGGGCAAGGCCUGGGUCUUCCUAACUCCUAUGGGACCUUGCCCUCUGUAAAUUCCAGUUGGGCAGCCUCCUGCCUAUGAAGAGAGGAGAAAGAGCUCUUCUCUGGGAUCCUUCUCCCUCCCCAGCUCAGUCUGCAGAGGAACAAAACCUACCCCAAGAAGGGAGCCUGGAUUGAGAGAGAAUGGCUCCUGGGAGCAGCCAAGCCCCAGCCCAGCUCGUCAGUGUUCAGACGGAGAGACCAGGCUGGAGGGCCCCUCACCAUCCACCAGGAGACUGUUUGGAUCCAGGGUAAAGUUCUGUAGCUGGGUGCCAUCAUGGGCAGUCUGAGGACCUCUUGGUACGCAGAAGCCCUGUCAAAGUUCCGGGCCUGAGCGGCUGAUGUGAAGUCACAUGAGCAGUCCACUUCUGUGAGGCGUCUGGGAGAGAGGAGCCUAAAGAAGAAGAGGGCAGGGUGUGGGUGAAUGAGAGAGGAAGAAGGCAGGUAGAGAGGAGAGGACAGGAGCAGUGAUGGCCUCAGGGGAGCUGGGGCAUGCUGAGCAGCCUUCUGGCCCUGGCAGGAAAACCUGCACCUCCCCACCAAAACUAGACUUCUUACGUGUUUUGUGAAUACAUGCAUCUAGAUGGGCUCCUUGAGGACACGGAUGGCUUUAUUCUUUGUAUCUUUUGCCCUGUGCCUGACACUUCGAGUAUGCUGCUUAAAACCUUAUUGAAAGGCUGAUUGCUUCUAUAUGUGUGUAGAUUUACAUGUUGUCUCUCUAUGUUCCCCAGCACGUGUCCCACUGCUUGGGACAUCGUGGGAUGUUUAUAAAUGCUUGUUGUUUGGUUGAUUAA